UACGGAGGAGGCAAGCGUUAUCCGGAAUUAUUGGGCGUAAAGCGUCCGCAGGUGGCACUUCAAGUCUGUCGUCAAAGACUGGGGCUUAACCCUGGAAAGGCGGUGAAAACUGAAGCGCUAGAGUGUGGUAGGGGUAGAGGGAAUUCCCGGUGUAGCGGUGAAAUGCGUAGAGAUCGGGAAGAACAUCGGUGGCGAAGGCGCUCUACUGGACCACAACUGACACUCAGGGACGAAAGCUAGGGGAGCGAAUGGG
rnacentral:rRNA from 1 species